UCCAUGCGGUCGGUGCAUGGUACAAGUGUAGUGAAGUUAUUGCUCAAAUUAAUUUAGUAUGAGAUCAUGGAGUCAUUGCAUAUGCAUAAGGUUCAGUAAACUAUAAAUUACAUCUGAUCGAGACGCAAGUUGGGAGUCGUUGGGUGACAGUCGCUUGAUGCAAACCAGGGUAGAAAUGCCCUGAGCUAAGGGGAUUUUAUCACGUAACUCGGACGGGGAAUUCAACAUGAUCUGCAAAGGAAUAACUGUUCUAUUGGAAUUAUUGAUUAAAGGAACUGCUCUUUCUACAUUGAGGAUUACAGAACUGUGAUCUGGAAAUAAUGCUGUCUGAAGGAACAUUACUGAACUCUAUUUUCCAUGUGAGGAAUAACACCGGAAUGGAUUUACAAAGUUUUUACUGGCCCAAACAACAAAAAUGGAUAUAUGCAGAUCUAAAUCUGGUCCGGACCCCCGUCCACCUCCCCCUGGGCCCCGGCGGGUCUCAAACACUUGUCGGGUUUCAGGAGAGGAGUCGACUACGGCCAAGCCGGCUGCUCUCUCCCUCUAAAUUACAUAUUCUGGGUGAACAAAGUCCUGCAGGUUGAGCUCUCUGGUGUCCUGGGUGAGAUAGAUGGUGUCUACAUCCUGGAAAAAAAGAGAGCAGGGGAGCCAGAGGGGCAGAUCUGGUGCAGACAGCUGCCGAUGUGAGCGAUCACCUCGUCCACUUCCUCUGCCGAGCCUAACCGGAGGCUCCAUGGCCCCCGUUCAUACUCCAGCACCACCUGCAGGGGGCGACAACCACAAAGGAACGUGACGAGAACAACUCACAACGCCUGUGGUGAUAAAAUCUGGAAACUCCAUGCCUCCUUAUGAUCUGGCUUCCAUGAAACAGCCUGAGGAGGUGAAUUCAGCUGAAGGAGUGUUCGACCUGAAGACACAGAUUGUGUAAAUACAUGGAGUUAAUCUUCUGUUUCCACAUCUUAUUCACAGAGGUAACUACGGCACAAGGGGGACACACUGAGCUCUGAUAAGACAAACAACAAAUUAAGAAGUUAUGCGUCUCAAAGGAGAUCUUGUUCUGCACAAUAUGAACUAAAAACAACACUGAUUACAUGUAUAUCUCCUUAUGAGAACUAGGAGACUUUCCCAGGAAAUAUCUGACCAGAAACAGACAGUGUGUAUGUAAAAUCUUUCAUGAACUUCAGGUGAUGCACACACACACACAUAUAUAUAUAUAUGUAAAACACAUAUUUGUGUCUACUAGAGUAGACCGUGUUCCAUAUAGAAGCACUUAAAUGUGUUCAUAUGCUGAGCUUCUGAGCGGCACAGUUUUGUGACUGCUUAACAGAAUAAAGUAUGACAAUAAAACAAAAAAUGAAGACACAGAAGAAAAACAUGUGACAUAUUUUUAAAAGUACUUCAAAUGCAGUUCUAACAGCUACUUCCUGACUGGCCACAACUUCUAACACACACAUAGUACAUUACUUUUCUUUUUUGGACACAUUUUCUUACUUAGGUUCCUUAGUUACAUAGGUCAUAGAAAAUCUUCAUGCUAAAUCACAUUAGUGCAGUAAAGACAGUAGAGGGUACAAAUUUGAGGAAGGCCCUUUCCUGUUUCAAUAUGAUGACGCUUCUAUCAGUCCCUCCAGGAUUUUGCGGAUGUUUUUCAUGAUUGCUGCGACCGAAAAUGCCUGAAUUCGCGGCAGCUUUUCUAAAAAAUUGCGAUAAAAGUUGCGAUGUUUUAAGCUUAUUUAUUGUGAUAAAAUUGCGGGAGACAGUGACAAUUGCUAAAAAGCUGCAUUUUUUCCAGCUUGUUGAACAUGUUUAAACACUGUAAUUGAUAACAUUUAUUCUGAAAUUAAUUAUUGAACGUUCCAACCCAUUUCCACAAAAGCUGGCACACCAUGGUGGGACAUUAGCAGCAGCCAGAUACUGGUUUAAUAUGACGUGACCUAACUAUGCAGGGGGCGACAAGAAUUGAAAGGACUCAGAAACACCCCCACAAUUUAAUCAGUUGUUCCUUGUGUCAUUUCCGAUACGUCCACUGUGGUAGAUUUGUUGUAGGAUCACAAUCAUGUGAUCGUCAGUAGGUCGCUGAGAUAGCGUUCACUUGUUGCCACGAUUACCGUGCCACUACCAGACGCCGUGCCGUUAUGAAUCCUUAACAAAUCCGUUGAUCCAAACUUUAAGCUGUAUCCCUGCCGAAGUCUAAUCAUUUGGUCCUUGUGCCAUUUCUGACCGACCCUGAGAACUUCUAUCAAAUCCCUGAGUCUGUUUUUAGUGAUGUGGGUAACAGAGCAAUGAUUCACACACGCUGAUCGUCACAUAACUCCGCCAUGUUCUUUGGUGGAAUAAUUAAUCUAAUUUACCUUCAUUCUUUCAGUGCUCUAAUGAAUCUGGAUGCAACAGUUUCCAUCAUGGUGAUUUGUCUGGUCUGUUGUCCGCUCAUUUCAGCCGUUCUAAUGUGUUUCAUGUUUUUAAAAAAGUGUGUAUCAAUCGAUGAUUUUUUCUUUUUUGUAUUCCACCACAAUAUUGCACGGCUGUACAACAGUUUACCUCCGCUUUGGUGAAGAACAUCAGUGAAUUAAUUGUUUAUCACGGUCUUCAGCAGUAAUUUUUGUUGGUAAAUGAGAGACAUUAGUAUCGCACAUGUCUGCAUCUUCAUACCAUAAACAGGAAGUGAAUUCGGUGACGUACGUGCAUUAGGUUUGCGCUGGGAGCUGCUAUGAUUGGUGGAACUCACGGGAGGCGGGCCAAAAUUGCGGGAAAGUUGCGGUGAUUGAACAAAAUUGCAAGGCCGCGCAAAAUUUGCAGAGAUUGGUUGAUUUCGCGUGAAUUCGCGCGAUCGCAACAACGCGAAUUCCUGGAGGGACUGUUUCUAUGCACAAAGACAGCUUCCAGCGGUGGACUUAAAAAAAAAAAAGAAGAAAAAAAACUAUGUUGAAUUUAGCUGACCAUUUAUUUUACACUAAUUAAAAAAUGAUGUAGAAUGUUUUGUGUCCAUAAGUGUUACCAAUACUGUAUUGUUUUUUAUUUUAAAGGUUGCAUUUUUAAUUUGUUUCCACACUUUGUUCUGUGUAAACACUGCCUGCAGUUCAGCGGAAAAGUUACACAAUUAUUGUCAUAUGACUAUUCAUCUUAGCUGAGAAGGACAGAAUUUUUUUAAUGAAUCUAUAUUGGUUAAGUUCUUAAUGAGACAUGUAGAAUAAAAAUGAUGAAAUAUUAUGACUUUGAAGCUGAGAUUUAGUCAUUUUUCCUAACAGAACUCACACAUGAUUAGACCAAAAAUCUGAUGUCUCUUUCCGUUUUUAUAAUUUCUAGUGUCAAUAUGGCAAUUUAAAAAAACAAACAUGCAUUUUAACCAGCAGGUUUUGGGGUUUAGAGCUUUAUUGCUCAGAAAAACAUUAUGUUUCAUUGCUGCAGCUCCUUGGUUAACAUCAAUAGUUUCGGUUUUGCUAAAUAAGCCAUGCCGUAUCUCUUUUUUCAGGUCGAUUGAGCUGACUGGUCAAGCUCCAACAUGUUUUGAAGUGAAGCAACAGAGAGUUUGCUGUGUCACAAUAACCUCCAAACACACUUUUCACUUCACUAAUGAGCAGCUCUACACUGUGCAAUUUACACUAUCAGCAAUUUACCAGUGAGGAAUCUGUGAGUGAAUCACAGUUAUUAUAUCAAAAAGACAGAGGAACCCUUACUGAUAAGGAGCUGUUUUUAUAAAGACCUGAACAAAACCUAAGGAGAGAGGAAAAGGGGGAAAAAAAAUCACAGAGACAACAAGAAUGUAAAAAACACAAGCUGCAAAUAGUCUGCAGAACAAAUGUCUGGAGCAGAGUCGUGCCCUCGCGCACAUUUCCUUUUGAAUCCAGAAAGUAAAAAUAAUUGUGUGGUCUCAACUCGCUGCCAAAGAGAACAAGUGUGACGGAGGGAAAAGAGGGAGAAAAACAAAGACGGAGGGGGGGAGAUGGAGGAACAAAAAAGAUAGUGAAACCAAGGGAGAGAAUGAAAAAAAAAUCACACAGGCACACAGCAGAAAGAUGAAGAAGUGGGAGAGAGUGGAUUAAAUAAACAGCAGAUAAAAGGAAUGAAAAAGUCAGGAAUGAACUGUAGAGGAAGAGAGGGAAAGGCACAGAGAGGCAGUGCUCCCUCCCCUGCUCUCCUUGCCAGCUGUUAAAUUCCUCCAUUGUCUUUUUUUUCUGCCUCUGCUGGGACAGAACACACUGAGGAACAAACCAGCCUCUGUUUCAGCCCCUCUCAGAGUUAGAAAAACCACUGGCCCACUCUGGAACAACAGAUCAGGGGUCAGCUGGCUGAGCUGGAAACUGUUGCUCAACAGAUUUUUAUUCAGAGGUUAUCAGAGUUGCAGUUGUUGCUGUUUUUGAACUGAAUUUAUUACCUACGAUGUGUCAUCCAACAGUUUUAAAUACGCUCUAAGAGGCAUGCACAUGUUGGUUUUUUAGACUUUGAGAAAUCAUUAACCUCAUUUUGCAUU